rnacentral:ncRNA from 1 species
CUUUGGAUUGAUAAGAUAUCCAAGGCGGAAGGAG